UACGUAGGGGGCGAGCGUUGUUCGGAUUUACUGGGCGUAAAGGGCGCGUAGGCGGCGCGUAAAGUCGGACAUGAAAUCAUGGGGCUUAACCCAAUGGCUGUGCCCGAUACUUGCGUGCUUAGAGUGCGGGAGAGGCAAUCGGAAUUCUCGGUGUAGCGGUGAAAUGCGUAGAUAUCGAGAGGAACUCCAGUGACGAAGGUGGGUUGCUGGACCGACACUGACGCUGAGGCGCGAAAGCUAGGGGAGCAAACGGG
rnacentral:rRNA from 1 species